UACAGAGGUGGCAAGCGUUGUUCGGAAUUACUGGGCGUAAAGGGCGCGUAGGCGGCUUUGCAAGUCGGGUGUGAAAUCCCCAGGCUUAACCUGGGAACUGCAUUCGAGACUGCAUUGCUAGAGUAUGGGAGAGGGAAGUGGAAUUUCCGGUGUAGCGGUGAAAUGCGUAGAUAUCGGAAGGAACAUCAGUGGCGAAAGCGACUUCCUGGACCAAUACUGACGCUCAUGUGCGAAAGCGUGGGGAGCAAACAGG
rnacentral:rRNA from 1 species